UGUGGUUACUAUAGCAAAGAGGAUACACCUGUUCCCAUUCCGAACACAGAAGUUAAGCUCUUUAGCGCCGAUGGUACUUGGUGGGAAGC
rnacentral:rRNA from 1 species